AAAUACGAAACUUGUAUUGUAAACUAAAAAAUAAUGAACUACAUUACACGAUUUUUUGUUUUGUUUUUAUGAGAGGAUUUUACGCAACGUACAUUUUGUUUCGUUUAACAUGAAGAAAAGAGCAUUGUUCGCGUGUUGCAUGCUGGUAUUGCUCCUCAUCAUUGCCGAUGAGGUGUAUUCAUGGAAACGGGUACAGAGAAAAAGAGGUGGAAUACGUUAUAGAAUACGGAUGAUUCGAUCAAAUUAUAAUAAAUGGUGUAAAUACAUGAUGAAAGACGUGUGUCAAAACUUUUGUGGAAUUGUCGGAUGCAACAACUAUUGCUAUCCCGUGAAGAAAAAAGUGUGUUCAGCAUAAAAAAGAUUAUAUAAACGUUCUGUUCUGGUGUCACUUUACGUAAAUUUCAAAAAAAAAAAAAAAAUGGCUGCACUUUGAGUAUUUGUUUUGAUUUUUGUGCUAAAAGCUAUACUCCAGAAAUCUCUAUCUGCACAUAAGAGAUUGGAUACUCUUGUUUAUCGAUGCUAAUACAUUUCUUGCGUGAAGCUUGCGAAUUGGUGGCUAAACACUUCACGUGUGCAAGUGCUUAAAAUUUUGGAUAUUAGCGAUACUCAAGCAUUACAUAUUUUGAUUUUGACAUUAAGGGCAGGGAGAAAAGCUUAAAUCUAAUCGUUAAAUAUGCGUUUGGCGUACGGGUAUCGAUUUGUGUCGUCCCCAUAACCCCCUUCCUUUUUUCCGUACUAUGGCCAUUUGAAUGCAAUAAAUACGUUUUAGGUCCACAGUGAAACAAAUCAAUGUAAAUGGGUUUAAGUAGUUAAACUGUACUCAAAAUCAAGAUUCAUAACAACCUAGAAAUCAUCUUCUAAGUCAUAUAUUUAAGAAAAAAAGAAUGUUUCUAUAUUAUAGCGCUAGCUACUCAGGACACCUGCGAAAUGCAAAGAUUAAAACGCCUCUUUUUUUGAUGCAGAGGUGUUUAAGUUUCAUCUCAGGGAAGUAAUUACUAAAAGUUGUGGGUGAACUAAUACAGUAAACAUGCAUUUCGAGAGGGAAAUUAAGAUCAGCAAAUAGUUUUAUAAUAGCAAACAUUUGUGUUUUAUUCUUCAAAUUAGGCGAAUACUACGUCCGAUCAUUACGCCUCCGAGAGUUUACAAGGGAAAUAAACAAAAAAGGCAAACGCACAUAUCCUGUCUUUUGCGAAGUAAUAAAAUGCACACCACUGCGACCGAUAUUCAAAUGAAUAAAAAAAAAAAAAAACGAAGGUUAAGAAGAUAAAGAAAAGAAAAAGCGAAAAAUGGAACUGCAGAUAGUUUUGUGUUUGAUGUUUUUAUUAGUCACAGUUGAAGCUAUUCCGAUCUCUCGGAGGAGAAUUUCAAUCAAGGUGGUGUCACAUCACGAUAAUCCCCAGCAAUCUCGUGGAAAUUUUGGUAAAAAAUGCUCAUAUAAACAUAUUUGUGUGACAUUUUGUGAUGGAACGAACUGUUUUGACUUAUGUAGAAAAGAACGUAAAAAAUGUUCCCACAAGUAGUUUUUAUGUCUUAUUUUUUAUUUAUUUAUGUAUUUAUUUAUUUAUUAAUUUAUUUGAAGUAGCAUUGUAUUUAGCAUUACCAUAAAUUCCAAUAAGAUUACAUUUUUUUGUCUUA